UAGUGGGAAGCAGUGAAUUCCUCAACCACCCGACCAUGGGUGACUAGUUGGAAGGUAAACGCAUUCACUACUAUAAGUACAAAAACUAUUCAAAAAAUUUAAAAUAAAAAAACUGGGCCCAAAUGGGUGGACGAUUGGGCUUGGAGCGGGUCAGAUUGAUCCGAAACGACUUGCUAACAUAACAUGACAAGAGUACACUUAAUUCUAAACAUG
rnacentral:lncRNA from 1 species